UGCCAGCCGCCGCGGUAAUACGUAGGUGGCGAGCGUUGUUCGGAUUUAUUGGGCGUAAAGGGUUCGUAGGGGGUUUGCUAAGUCUGAUGUGAAAUCCCGCGGCUCAACCGCGGAACUGCAUUGGAGACUGGCAGACUAGAGGAUCGGAGAGGAGAGUGGAAUUCCGGGAGUAGCGGUGGAAUGCGUAGAUAUCCGGAAGAACACCGACAGCGAAGGCAGCUCUCUGGACGAUUUCUGACCCUGAGGGACGAAAGCGUGGGUAGCAAACAGGAUUAGAUA
rnacentral:rRNA from 1 species